GAUGGACACCACCUUAAAUGGGCAGACCUUUACUUCUUUAUCUAUGCUGCUUGUUGUUUUUUAUAUCCGUUUUAAAUUAGUAGUCAGAUUUUAUUUUAUUCUUCUAGUACUCAAACAAUUUGUUUUCUGUCCUUCCAACUUUCCUACCAACAAAGGCAAGAUAAGUUUAAUCAAAGGCUGUUUGCUUCCUUCUGUUUUUAAUUCUGUUUUCAUUCGAUGGCAACUUUUGCUAAACAAAAUCUUUCUUUCUUUCUUUCUUUCUUUCUUUCUUGCUUGCUUGCUUGCUUGCUUGCUUGCUUGCUUGCUUGCUUGCUUGCUUGCUUGCUUGCUUGCUUGCUUGCUUGCUUGCUUGCUUGCUUAUCAAGCUGCUUGAACCCUGGAACUAUGCAUAGCUGAAGAACAUGCAGUCAUUCAUUUCCAUGAAAAAAGGAAUACCAGAAAGGGAGGAUCAUUCAGCAACUGGCUUCUCCUCCGAUUUCUACAUAUUCAAGGUAAUGUUUGCUUGCACGCGAGUACACAUAAGAUCUCUAAACACAAUCUAGACUUUGCAAAUUGAUGCUAUGGAUCAAACGGAUGCUAUGGAUUGUGUGUAAGGACAUGUUUGCUAUACAAACAACACCUUGAAUAUAUGGAAGUAGGGGUUGAGUUAAUGGGUGUAACCCCAAUCCCCUCUUCUAUGUUGAAUUCUUUGUAGAAAUAAUUGGUUUUCAGGAAAAACAAAGGCAACAACAUGCCUCCAUUAGGUACUGGAGUCAGUUUGUCCUCAUAAGGGCUGAAGUUUUCAGAGGUACAAUAUACUGUCUUGUGUAUCUAAUAUCAAGUAAGAUCUUGGUUCAGGGAACCCUUUUUGGUUUUGUACAGUUUUUUCAAGUGUUUGGUUUCUUAUAGAAAUAAUCAUUUCAGUGAAAUAUUACCUUCAUUUAUAGCCCAGUAACAGCUUAAUAGCUUUCAAAAGGAAACAGUCUUGAUUUUCAACAGAAAGCAUUAGCUCUAUCUGUAAGUCUGUUGUAUACAGCUACACUAAUAUCCACAGAAGUACAGUCAGUGGAUUACGGAUUUGAAUUUGUUUCAUUUACUCUUUAAGUCUUCCUGGGAAAAAUUAUAAAUAUUUUUCAGGACACUGAUUUGAAGUUCACAGUAGUAGAAUCUGAUUUGAUCUUUAGUUGAAGGCUUAUUAGACAAUAAUUCUUUGCAGCUAGAAAUAAUGUAAGUUGAAUACAGAGGCCCAAUUAAAGACUGCCAACAAAUAGUACAUAAAAAUUAAAAUUACUAUUUCCUAUUUCUUUUUACUUUGGAUAUUGGCUCUUUUCAUAGAGAACUCUUUGUGGACAUUAGAUUCUUUCAAACAUUGAAAUUUACAUAUCAGGUGGACACUGAGUUUCUGAAGUCUUUAGCCUGGUUUUCUUUACACAUUCCAUGCAGUCAGGAAACCUGGCUUUGCAAAGGGUUAACAUAAUGGGAGGUGAGAGAGAGCUGAUCUCACCUACUACCCGUAGGAACAUGUUCAUAAUGAAAAGGCAUUUCAAAGGAGGCAUGUUUGCAUGGAGGAAUUUCAGCAGACAGGUUCCUGCUCAGACCUUUUGUUCUCCAAAAGUUUCCAAAAACCUCCAGACAAGUCUUAACAUACCCAAGGGAGAGGCCUCAUAAGAGCAGGUUUGUACUUUAAAAUAAAAGCCUUCAAGCAUUUUGAAGUCCUACCUCAGCACUUGUGCGGUUUAGUAACUCAGAGUUGAAGAACCAUCUUUCAUGAUAUGAUAUCUCAUGAUCUCUGCAGGGGAAAUCCAACCCACUUCUACCUAAACCAUUUCACUAAACAUCUUUUGCAAAUCAUUUUUGCAAACCAUUAUUACUCUGAAAUAAGUCCCACUGAUUUAAUGAGAUAUAUUUCCAAAUAAAUGUGUUUUGUUCCUUAAUGAUUUUACUGUUUAAGAAGGUCUUUGGUAAAAGAUUUACAUGGGACAAAACAGGUAAAUAGAAACUUGGCCCCAUUUUUAGGCACUGGAAAAAGGAAUGUCCUUGGAGACAUUAAAAUACUUUUAUUUGAGUAUCUCAAGAGCCAUGGAUAAAGAAGAAAUCACUUGAGAUUCAGGGAGAAAUUUGUAAUCUGCUGUAGGAUGUUGGGUAACUGUUUAAUUUCAGUAUGCCUCAGUAUACCUCCUAUAAAAUGGGACUUAUAGGACUCCUACACUUCAUAGGCAAACUGGGAAUUAUAAAAGGCUACUGAAAACCAUCGGCAAUAGUAAGGUCAAUUUCCUUUAUGUAAAAUGAAAGUCAUUAUUUUUCACAGGGAUUUGUAUGAGACUAAUUGUAAAUCAUUUUAAUGUGCCCUUUUAUCUCUUCCUUUCUUCUUCAUUGUUCUUUUCUUUAUAAUAUUUAAAAAAUCUCUUCAAUUGCACCUUUAGAUGAAAGCUGCUCUGUAACAUCUGAGAGGGAAUGUUAAAUAAAAGUUAAUUCAACAUGCUGUGAAAUAAAGGAAACUCAUCCUUCAACAAAAUGUGAAAAUGA